ACGCUCGACACCUACGGGAGGCAGCAGUGGGGAAUAUUGGGCAAUGGGCGCAAGCCUGACCCAGCAACGCCGCGUGAAGGAAGAAGGCUUUCGGGUUGUAAACUUCUUUUCUCAGGGACGAAGGAAGUGACGGUACCUGAGGAACAAGCCACGGCUAACUACGUGCUAGCAGCCGCGGUAAUCUGAGCGGGCUGGCAAGGC
rnacentral:rRNA from 1 species